CGGGUGCACUGAUCCGGCCGGGCCUUUCCCUCUGUGGAACCCCUUGGCCUUCACUGGCUGUGCCGGGGAAACCGGACUUUUACUGUGAAAAAAUUAGAGUGCUCCUGCAGGCCUAUGCUUUAAUACAUUAGCAUGGAAUAAUAGAAUAGGACGCGUGGUUCUAUUUUGUUGGUUUCUAGGACCGCCACCAUGAUUAAUAGGGACAGUCGGGGGCAUCAGUAUUCAAUUGUCAGAGGUGAAAUUCUUGGAUCUAUUGAAGACUAACUACUGCGAAAGCAUUUGCCAAGGAUGUUUUCAUUGAUAAGGAACGAAAGUUAGGGGAUCGAAGACUAUCAGACACCGUCGUAGUCUUAACUAUAAACUAUGCCGACUAGGGAUCGGACGAUGUUAUUUCUUGACGCGUUCGGCACCUUUUUAGAAAUCAAAGUGGUUGGGCUCCAGGGGGAGUAUGGUGACAAGGCGGAAAGUCAAAGAAAGGAGUGGAAGGGCACCACCAGGGGGGGAACACGCGGGGUAAUUUGACUCAACACGGGGAAACUCACCAGGUCCAGACACAAUGUGGAUUGACAGAUUGAGAGCUCUUUCUUGAUUCUGUGGGUGGUGGUGCAUGGCCGUUCUUAGGGGUGGAGUGAUUUGUCUGGUUACUUUAGUUAACGAAAGAGACCUUAUCCUUUUAAAUAGCCCGGACUGCUCUGGCAGUUCGCCUGUUUCUAAGAGGGACUAUCGG
rnacentral:rRNA from 1 species